rnacentral:tRNA from 1 species
UGUUCUGUAGCUUAGUUGGUUAAAGCGCCAGACUAUCAAUAACGGAGUCGUGGGUUCGAAUCCCACCAAAACAA